rnacentral:rRNA from 1 species
GAUGAACGCUGGCGGCGUGCCUAAUACAUGCAAGUCGAGCGAACAGACGAGGCGCUUGCUCCUCUGACGUUAGCGGCGGACGGGUGAGUAACACGUGGAUCACCUACCUAUAAGACUGGGAUCACUUCGGGAAACCGGAGCUAAUACCGGAUAAUCUAUUGAACCGCAUGGUUCAAUAGUGAAAGACGGUUUUGCUGUCACUUCUAGAUGGAUCCGCGCCGCAUUAGCUAGUUGGUAAGGUAACGGCUUACCAAGGCAACGAUGCGUAACCGACGUGAGGGGCGGAUAGGCCACAUGGGAGCUUGAACGCGGUCCAUGCGCCUAAGGGAGGCAGCAGUAGGGAAUCUUACGCAGCAGUCGAAAGCCUUGCGGAGCGACGCGACGUGAGUGAUGAAAGUGUUCGGAGCGUAAUACUGUGUUAUGAGGUAAGAACAAAUGUGUAAGUAACUAUGCACGGCGUGACGGUACCUAAUCAAAAAGCCACGGCUAACUACGUG